rnacentral:rRNA from 1 species
UACGGGGGGGGCAAGCGUUGUUCGGAAUUACUGGGCGUAAAGGGUUCGUAGGUGGCUUGCUAAGUCAGACGUGAAAUCCCUCAGCUUAACUGGGGAACUGCGUCUGAGACUGGUGAGCUUGAGUGCAGGAGAGGAACGCGGAAUUCCAGGUGUAGCGGUGAAAUGCGUAGAUAUCUGGAGGAACACCGGUGGCGAAGGCGGCGUUCUGGACCGGUAUUGACGCUGAGGCGCGAAAGCCAGGGGAGCAAACGGG